rnacentral:rRNA from 1 species
GAUGAACGCUAGCUACAGGCUUAACACAUGCAAGUCGAGGGGCAGCAUUUCAGUUUGCUUGCAAACUGAAGAUGGCGACCGGCGCACGGGUGAGUAACACGUAUCCAACCUGCCGAUAACUCUGGGAUAGCCUUUCGAAAGAAAGAUUAAUACCGGAUGGCAUAUGAUUAUCGCAUGAUAAUCCUAUUAAAGAAUUUCGGUUAUCGAUGGGGAUGCGUUCCAUUAGUUUGUUGGCGGGGUAACGGCCCACCAAGACUUCGAUGGAUAGGGGUUCUGAGAGGAAGGUCCCCCACAUUGGAACUGAGACACGGUCCAAACUCCUACGGGAGGCAGCAGUGAGGAAUAUUGGUCAAUGGACGAGAGUCUGAACCAGCCAAGUAGCGUGAAGGAUGACUGCCCUAUGGGUUGUAAACUUCUUUUAUACGGGAAUAAAGUUAUCCACGUGUGGAUUUUUGUAUGUACCGUAUGAAUAAGGAUCGGCUAACUCCGUG